GAUGAAGAACGUAGCGAAAUGCGAUAAGUAAUGUGAAUUGCAGAAUUCAGUGAAUCAUCGAAUCUUUGAACGCACAUUGCGCCCGUCAGUAUUCUGGCGGGCAUGUCUGUUCGAGCGUCAUUACGCCCCUCAAGUCCCCUGUGGACUUGGUGUUGGGGAUCGGCGAGGCUGGUUUUCCAGCACAGCCGUCCCUUAAAUUAAUUGGCGGUCUCGCCGUGGCCCUCCUCUGCGCAGUAGUAAAACACUCGCAACAGGAGCCCGGCGCGGUCCACUGCCGUAAAACCCCCCAACUUUUUAUAGUUGACCUCGAAUCAGGUAGGACUACCCGCUGAACUUAAGCAUACAAUAAGCGGAGGA
rnacentral:misc_RNA from 1 species